CCUACGGGUGGCUGCAGUGAGGAAUAUUGGUCAAUGGGCGCGAGCCUGAACCAGCAAAGUAGCGUGAAGGAUGACUGCCCUACGGGUUGUAAACUUCUUUUAUAAAGGAAUAAAGUGAGGCACGUGUGCCUUUUUGUCUGUACUUUAUGAAUCAGGCUCGGCUAACUCCGUGCCAGCAGCCGCGGUAAUACGGAGGCUUCGAGCGUUAUCCGGUUUUAUGGGGUUUAAAGGGAGCGUAGAUGGGUUGUUAAGUCAGUUGUGAAAGUUUGCGGCUCAACCGUCAAAUUGCAAUUGAUACUGGCAGCCUGGAGUACAGUUGAGGUAGGCGGAAUUCGUGGUGUAGCGGUGAAAUGCUUAGAUAUCACGAAGAACUCCGAUUGCGAAGGCAGCCUACUAAACUGCCACUGACAUUGAGGCACGAAAGUGUGGGUAUCAAACAGGAUUAGAUACCCCUGUAGUC
rnacentral:rRNA from 1 species